CCUACGGGAGGCAGCAGUGAGGAAUAUUGGUCAAUGGCCGGAAGUCUGAACCAGCCAAGCCGCGUGAAGGACGAAGGUGCCAAGCAUUGUAAACUUCUUUUGUCAAGGGACAAAAUCAGGCUCGCGAGCCUGACCGAGGGUACUUGAAGAAAAAGCAUCGGCUAACUCCGUGCCAGCAGCCGCGGUAAUACGGAGGAUGCGAGCGUUAUCCGGAUUUAUUGGGUUAAAAGGGUGCGUAGGCGGACUGGUAAGUCAGCGGUAAAAGUCCGGGGCUCAACCGCGGCGAGCCGUUGAAACUGGUUGUCUUGAGAGGUCGAGAGGUAUGCGGAAUGCGUAGUGUAGCGGUGAAAUGCUUAGAUAUU
rnacentral:rRNA from 1 species